GGAGAGGUGGCAGAGUGGUCGAUUGCGGCCGACUUGAAAUCGGCUGAGCCCGAGCAGGGCUCCGAGAGUUCGAAUCUCUCCCUCUCCGCCU
rnacentral:tRNA from 1 species